AACGAACGCUGGCGGCAUGCCUAACACAUGCAAGUCGAACGAGACCUUCGGGUCUAGUGGCGCACGGGUGCGUAACGCGUGGGAACCUGCCCUUAGGUUCGGAAUAACUCCCCGAAAGGGGUGCUAAUACCGGAUAAUGUCUUCGGACCAAAGAUUUAUCGCCUUUGGAUGGGCCCGCGUUGGAUUAGCUAGUUGGUAGGGUAAAAGCCUACCAAGGCGACGAUCCAUAGCUGGUCUGAGAAGAUGAUCAGCCACACUGGGACUGAGACACGGCCCAGACUCCUACGGGAGGCAGCAGUGGGGAAUAUUGGACAAUGGGCGAAAGCCUGAUCCAGCAAUGCCGCGUGAGUGAUGAAGGCCUUAGGGUUGUAAAGCUCUUUUACCCGGGAUGAUAAUGACAGUACCGGGAGAAUAAGCGCCGGCUAACUCCGUG
rnacentral:rRNA from 1 species